rnacentral:lncRNA from 1 species
GUCUCUGAUAACGCUCAAAUCAUCUACUUCUGCACUCUCCGAGCUCACAACUCGUGCAAAACGUUGACCUCCAAACUUUUCACCUGCAGUUGCAGACAGUUAUAAUCACACAUCAAGGACUAUAAACUUUGGAAGCUGCUUUUCCGACUUGUUCGUGAACUUCGCAUGAAUGGUGACCCUUUUCAUCCGUUUCUUAACUUCGUUAUCUGGAUGACAGCUGGCACUGCUUGAACUAACGGAAGCAGGCUCCGUGAAUGAAGUGGAACAACAAGGGUCCUUGUUUGCUGUUGGAAAAGAAGAUUACCAGCUGGAAAAGGCACUCGUGGGAAACGCCGCGAAACAAAUGGACGUUUUGCACAAUCGGGUAAAAAAGAUGGCGUGAAAUGCUCGCACGGAUGGCUUUUGGCAGACAGUUUAACGUAUCUUGAUGUUUUAACCCCUGGGUUUUGUAAUCCAGACAGAUGUGUGACAAUAUUUGAUCUUUUAUCUGCGGUGGAAGCUGAUUCCGUUUCGCAAAUUCUGAAGCAGCUGCGACUUUAUCUCUCUACACCACCAAAAACAUUGUUCAGAAUCCGGAACGACAAAAAAAACAGAAAGUUGUCAACAAGAUAACUUACAAAAUCUCUGGUAUUUCCUGUCCAAUGAACGACAAGAUUUGUCAUGUUCCCGAUAAGGUACGAUGUUAAUCCCAAGUUGAAUAGCAUAUAGCCGAUAUCGAACACCAUUUCUCUUGCAUUCUCAGCGUGAAAGUCUCCGUAACCAGUAGUUGUUAGAGUCACAAUCGACCAAUACAGUGAUGUUACGUAUCUAUUCCAGAUGCUUUCGGUUUUGAAAUUUGGAUAAACCGCACCUAUCCAAGUUUUACUUGGGUCGGGAUAUCUAUCUGCUAUCAAGUAGUUAAAGCAUCCGGCACAGUGUACCGCAAACAGAGUCACCUGAAUUUACAAACCGAGAGGAGGCUGAGAGAUCUAAACGGCACAGUUGAGCUCACGUCAAAUAUAAACCAUGUUGACAGAUGGCCCAAGAGACACAAACAAUGCCUUAAAACAUAGUUUUCUUUGUGUGGUGUAAGGUGGGUUAGAUUAGACUCCAUGCACAGGGGUUGGUGCUUUAGUGGCCCUUUUGUGAUGGUGCUCAAUUACCAUACAGUUGGGGAAUCCAACCACCGACUUGCACCUGGACAUGCACGUGCCUAGAUAUUCAAAAUCUUCUAUGUUAUUAUUAUUGAUUUUUUUUUUAUGAAGGGUGGUUAUAUGUCUUAUUUGCAAAACUUAUUUACUUGUGACAAAGUUAUGUGUAGAGAAAUAUGCUUUGU